CGCACGCGUGAGUCGUGACUCUUCCCAAGUUAAAAACGCUCUCUUCCAACGUUUUCAGGAGAGGAAAUCUCUCUCUUUCCUCUUCCCUCUCCCCUCACCGACGGCCGGCCACCGGAGACCACAAACGCAAGCACCGCUGAAGACGAGCGACCCACGUCUACACCGUUAAAAUCCCCAAAUUUCAAAACCCCAACCCAGUGUCAAAAUCCAUCUUCCCUCUCUCCCACUGACGACGAAACGCACAGAAAAAAAAUUGAAAGUGAAAUCACACCGACAAAAGCGGUUUUGGGAGUAGGUGGUUUUGGGAAUCGAUAAUGCAUAUGGCGAAUACGGAGUUUUACCAAACGGAUUGCGAGUCGAUUUUGUCACAAAUUAAGCACCAAGAGAAGCAGAUUAUACUCAAAAGAAGAUGGUUAUUGGGGCUUCCUGUAUCCAAAUCUAAACGGAAGCAGUUUGAAGGACCCAAGUUUUUGAAUUAUAGCAGGUCUUUACCCGAGUCUUUGCUUAGGGAUGAUGAUAUGUUCUAUGAGACCAUAAAAGCGUGUGUUGAAGAAGCCUUUGGAGCGUGUAAUGCUGAAGGAAAUGUUAUGCAAGAUGAAAUGAAAUUGUUUGGCACACACAAUAUAACAAGAACAAUUAUGUCAUGCCUUGACGAUUUGACCAAUAAGGGGCUAUACCUUCUUGCUAUGGUUCUUACUGGAGGCUCUUCAAAGUUUGAGAAAACUCGUUGGAGGAUGAAGAAAGUAAUUAGAGAUCAUCUUCCAAAAGUUCUUGGAAGCCGGAAUCACAAUCAUCAUCAAAUGGAAAUUUGUAGAGAGCUAUCUCAGCUUCUCUUUGACCCACAAAAUUUUCGAGCAAAAUGUGUGCCCUUUUUGACUCCCCAAUCCCAAUCUCAUCAUGCUGCUGUAACUAAGGUCCUGUGCGAACUACAGAACUUGCCUUGUGCGGCCCUGUUUGCAAUGUACAGGAAACUUAAAGGUGCCCAAGCAGGCAAGCCUCAAUUAGUUCCCCACAGACAUGGAUGGGGUCGAGAUUAUUUAAUCAAAAAACUAAGGAAAUCUAGCGAAGAGAUGCUUUCGGAACUUGCUGAAGGGGAUGAAUUACAAGAGCCACUAGCCAAAGCAAUGGCAAUACCAGGCUUAUUGCUAAAGCUAACUCCAGGUUUUCAAAAUUCCUCUGUAACAGAGUUUUAUCCAUUCUCUUCAGAAAUAAAAAACCUGCAGAAUGAGAUAGCAAAGGCUAUUUGGUCACUAGAAAAGAAGAUUAGGUUACCAGAGCUGAAAAACUUGCAGCUUCUAUUAGAUCCAAAUGCUAAAGUAUCAAAUCGGUCUUUACGAGCUGGAAUUAGGAAAAUGUUAUAUGAAUAUCUCUUUGAGUGCAGUGAAAUGGAUGCCAUUCCCAAGUCUCUAUUGGAAGCUCUUGCUUUUAUCAAUAGUAACUCUCGAAGUACACCGCUUGGAUGCUUCAGAAAGGAGGAAGUUGAAGAAGUAGUAGAAUGCAUAUUGACUGUGAGUGCUCACACAAAGCAGAUUGUUUUGGAUUUUCUGCCUGACCAUGACUUUGAUCAAGAUUUUGCUGAUGCAUAUAUGGAGGAAUUAGAAGAAAGUGACAAUGGUGGUGAUGAUGGUGAUGAUGAUGGUUGGCUUCAGGAAGGUAGAAGCUCUCAGAGUUGUAGGUCUCACUCUAUUGAUUCAGAUUACCAAGUAGAAGGUACUGGGGAGUCAAUACCAUUCGAUUUUAAGCCACCUACCCCUACGACUAAGGAGAAUGGCUCUUCCUCUUUCCUUACUCCCCAAAAAAGUUUAGACAGUGAUUUUGUUGGGGGCCCUGAACCUAAGCAUUUUGCAAAAAUGGAUUCCGUCACUUGUCAUGGUAUCACUUCCUCUCCAUUCUGCGAGUCGAGAUCUUUUAGCAGCAUGGUACACAUGGAUAUGAGCCAAAUCAAAGUUGAAGGUAUUAGUGAAUCCAACAUGCCUAAAACAAAUGGAAAUAAUUUUCCCUCACCUGUUUCAGCAAACAGAAGGAUCGAGAGAUGUGAACCUGAAUGCAAUUCUGGAGUAGAUCCAGCAAACUCUCCACCUUUCAUUUCUUCAAACUUUUCAUGUGGGGAGCGAAAAGCUGUCAAUGACGAGCAAAGCACGAGUAAGAACCAAUACCUUGCCAUCCAAGAAGUUUGUGAUGAAACAAGUGUGGUUGCCUACAAUCUCAUUGGUCAUUUGCUGGAGGAGUUUGCAAAAAGAGAAGGCUUAGAUUUGGACUGGAGAGAGAGUUUGUAUCUAAGAGGUGACAAUUCAGUUGAAGAAGAUUCUCAAGUGGCAGAAGAAGAGCCGACUUCAUUUGAGAAGUGUGAUGGAGGUUCAGUUGUUCAAGUAGUUGAAGAGCUACCUUUCCUUCCUAAGAGUGGAAUAGAAAGAUUGAAGAAAUUGAUGGGCUUGUGAUAGCAUUCUUUGAGGCUUUGGUGCUCUAUCAGAAUACCCCAGAAGGCUUUUGAAUGUUUCUGCAUUCUUACCAGUUUCCCCCACACCCUUUUCUGACACUGAGAUCAUCCUCCUAAAUCUUGUGGGCCAUGAGCUGCAUCGGAAAUCAAAUGAAGUUAUCCAGAGGUAAUUCUGUGGACUUUCAAGAUGGCACUGUAUUUCUAAAGCUGCCCAGAUUUUAUGUGUCUAGUCUGGUAAUUAGCUUCGAAUAUAAGAGAAAAAAAAAGGGAAAAAAGAAAGAGAGAGGAUGCUGUCUGUGUAAAACGGGAAAUUCAAUCGUAUAGGUAUUUCUUUGUUCAUAUGUUUAUUCAACCGUACAUAUUCUGAAAAUUACUGACACUGUUUCAAUUGGUUAACAGGAUGAGUUUGAUUAAAUAUACAGUAGUUACUUAUUCUGUA